AUGCGGAGAGCUAAGCGCGAGGUGUUCCCGCUAAUGUUGCAGGUGUUACGUGUGCACUGCCUCAGACACAGGCCUAACAAGCCAAAAGUGACAUGGUGCCUCUUUGGAGAGCCCAGAAAACUCCUCAAAAAUGUCACUUGGAUGGUCAAAAUCUUGGGCUGUUUCCUAGGUGCAGAAACUGGGGGAGACAUAGACCUGGUGCCCUGCAAUGACCGGGGCAAGGUCUCCAUUGGGGCUGCAUCUCAUGACCCCAAAUCCCCGUCCGUCUUCCCUCUCACCUCCUGCCCUGGAGAAGCCACCUCCACGCAGGUCACCUUCGGCUGCCUGGUCGAUGGGUAUACCCCUGAGCCGGUCAAAGUGCAGGGCCCCCCCGCCGUUGGCUCUGAGGGCGUGAAGACCUACCCCUCCAUGCUGCACUCUUCCAGCGGUCUCUACUCACUCAGCAGCCAGGUCACCGUCUCGGACAGCAGCUGGCAAUCCAACACCUAUCGCUGCACCGUCGAGCACAAGCCCACAAAAUCCAGCAUCUCCAAGGAAAUCCCAAAAACUCCCAGCUCCAAACCCCACCCACCUACGGUGCAAGUCUACCACUCCUCCUGCACUACCAAACCAAGCACCAUCCACCUGCUGUGCCUCAUCUCCGGCUUCUCCCCCAUGCCCCUGAAGGUGGAAUGGCUGGUAGACGGGGUGUCUGGGCAGCUUCAGGGCAACACAGCCCCCGCCAAGAAGGAUGCUGGAGGCCAAACCUUCAGCACCCACAGCAAUGCCAGCGUCUCCCAGGAAGAGUUUAUGGAGGACAAGACGUACACCUGCAGAGUGUUCCAUCCGGGCACCGGGACCACGGAGGAGGGUGAAGCCCGCAAGUGCAAAGAUGUACCUACAACCACCAGUAACAUCCUCGUCUUCACGGUGCCGCCAUCCCCUGAGGAACUGUACGUGGGCCAGAGCCCCCUGCUCACCUGCCUGGUCGUCAACCUGCCUAACGACGCUGACCUGAAAGUGGUCUGGUCCCGGGAAAAGCCAGGGACCAUUAGCCCCGAACCCAUCGCCUUGUCUGAGCAGCGCAACCGCACCUUCACCGCCUCCAGCUCCCUGGCCAUCUUUCCCCGCGACUGGGAGUCUGGAGAGAAAUACACCUGCAAAGUGGAGCACUCGGAGCUGCCCUCACCCAUCAUCAGAUCCAUCUCCAAGAAGCAAGGCAAGAGCUCUCCGCCCCGUGUCUACCUCCUGCGCCCCCACCCUGAUGAGUUGAGCAACAAUGGAGAUACUGUCAGCCUCACCUGCCUGGUGCGGGGCUUCUUCCCUGAGGACAUCUCAGUGAAGUGGAUGGAGGGCAGCCAGUCGAGUGACAGCAACAAAUCUGUCACCACUUCGCCCAUGAAGGAAAGAGAGGGCGACUCAACCUACUUCCUCUAUAGCAAGAUGACAGUCGACAAGGCCAACUGGAACAGUGGGACCACCUAUACCUGCAUGGUCAUCCAUCAAGCUCUGACACCACUGAAAUUCACCCAACGCAACAUCCGCAAUGUCCCCGGUAAAUGAAGACAUCUUCUCCCCAUCCCAUUGCUAGCAUUGUCUGUUAGAGCUUCCUGUAAAUUAUCUCUGUGCCAUCUGUGAUGACAAGUGAAUAAAUGGAACUAGU